UUAACCCCGGGAUUUGCGGUGGGUACGGGCAGACUAGAGUGCAGUAGGGGAGACUGGAAUUCCUGGUGUAGCGGUGGAAUGCGCAGAUAUCAGGAGGAACACCGAUGGCGAAGGCAGGUCUCUGGGCUGUAACUGACGCUGAGGAGCGAAAGCAUGGGGAGCGAACAGGAUUAGAUACCCUGGUAGUCCAUGCCGUAAACGUUGGGCACUAGGUGUGGGGACCAUUCCACGGUUUCCGCGCCGCAGCUAACGCAUUAAGUGCCCCGCCUGGGGAGUACGGCCGCAAGGCUAAAACUCAAAGGAAUUGACGGGGGCCCGCACAAGCGGCGGAGCAUGCGGAUUAAUUCGAUGCAACGCGAAGAACCUUACCAAGGCUUGACAUGUUCUCGAUCGCCGUAGAGAUACGGUUUCCCCUUUGGGGCGGGUUCACAGGUGGUGCAUGGUUGUCGUCAGCUCGUGUCGUGAGAUGUUGGGUUAAGUCCCGCAACGAGCGCAACCCUCGUUCCAUGUUGCCAGCACGUAAUGGUGGGGACUCAUGGGAGACUGCCGGGGUCAACUCGGAGGAAGGUGAGGACGACGUCAAAUCAUCAUGCCCCUUAUGUCUUGGGCUUCACGCAUGCUACAAUGGCCGGUACAAUGGGUUGCGAUACUGUGAGGUGGAGCUAAUCCCAAAAAGCCGGUCUCAGUUCGGAUUGGGGUCUGCAACUCGACCCCAUGAAGUCGGAGUCGCUAGUAAUCG
rnacentral:rRNA from 1 species